rnacentral:pre_miRNA from 1 species
AGCGGACGUUAAACGAUGAUGAUGAUGAUGAUGAUGAUGAUGAUCAUCAUCAUCAUCAUCAUCAUCAUCAUCAUCAUCAUCAUCAUCAUCUUUUUAA